rnacentral:rRNA from 1 species
UUUGGUUAAGUUAGAAAGGGCGCACGGUGGAUGCCUUGACACUAGGAGUCGAUGAAGGACGGGACUAACGCCGAUAUGCUUCGGGGAGCUGUAAGUAAGCUUUGAUCCGAAGAUUUCCGAAUGGGGAAACCCACUAUACGUAAUGGUAUGGUAUCCUUACCUGAAUACAUAGGGUAUGGAAGACAGACCCAGGGAACUGAAACAUCUAAGUACCUGGAGGAAGAGAAAGCAAAUGCGAUUUCCUGAGUAGCGGCGAGCGAAACGGAACAUAGCCCAAACCAAGAGGCUUGCCUCUUGGGGUUGUAGGACAUUCUAUACGGAGUUACAAAGGAACGAGGUAGACGAAGCGACCUGGAAAGGUCCGUCGUAGAGGGUAACAACCCCGUAGUCGAAACUUCGUUCUCUCUUGAAUGUAUCCUGAGUACGGCGGAACACGUGAAAUUCCGUCGGAAUCUGGGAGGACCAUCUCCCAAGGCUAAAUACUCCCUAGUGAUCGAUAGUGAACCAGUACCGUGAGGGAAAGGUGAAAAGCACCCCGGAAGGGGAGUGAAAGAGAUCCUGAAACCGUGUGCCUACAAAUAGUCAGAGCCCGUUAAUGGGUGAUGGCGUGCCUUUUGUAGAAUGAACCGGCGAGUUACGAUCCCGUGCGAGGUUAAGCUGAAGAGGCGGAGCCGCAGCGAAAGCGAGUCUGAAUAGGGCGUUUAGUACGUGGUCGUAGACCCGAAACCAGGUGAUCUACCCAUGUCCAGGGUGAAGUUCAGGUAACACUGAAUGGAGGCCCGAACCCACGCACGUUGAAAAGUGCGGGGAUGAGGUGUGGGUAGCGGAGAAAUUCCAAUCGAACCUGGAGAUAGCUGGUUCUCCCCGAAAUAGCUUUAGGGCUAGCCUUAAGUGUAAGAGUCUUGGAGGUAGAGCACUGAUUGAACUAGGGGUCCUCAUCGGAUUACCGAAUUCAGUCAAACUCCGAAUGCCAAUGACUUAUCCUUAGGAGUCAGACUGCGAGUGAUAAGAUCCGUAGUCAAGAGGGAAACAGCCCAGAUCGCCAGCUAAGGUCCCAAAGUGUGUAUUAAGUGGAAAAGGAUGUGGAGUUGCUUAGACAACUAGGAUGUUGGCUUAGAAGCAGCCACCAUUUAAAGAGUGCGUAAUAGCUCACUAGUCGAGUGACUCUGCGCCGAAAAUGUACCGGGGCUAAAUACACCACCGAAGCUGCGAAUUGAUACCAAUGGUAUCAGUGGUAGGGGAGCGUUCUAAGUGCAGUGAAGUCAGACCGGAAGGACUGGUGGAGCGCUUAGAAGUGAGAAUGCCGGUAUGAGUAGCGAAAGACGGGUGAGAAUCCCGUCCACCGAAUGCCUAAGGUUUCCUGAGGAAGGCUCGUCCGCUCAGGGUUAGUCAGGACCUAAGCCGAGGCCGACAGGCGUAGGCGAUGGACAACAGGUUGAUAUUCCUGUACCACCUCUUUAUCGUUUGAGCAAUGGAGGGACGCAGAAGGAUAGAAGAAGCGUGCGAUUGGUUGUGCACGUCCAAGCAGUUAGGCUGAUAAGUAGGCAAAUCCGCUUAUCGUGAAGGCUGAGCUGUGAUGGGGAAGCUCCUUAUGGAGCGAAGUCUUUGAUUCCCCGCUGCCAAGAAAAGCUUCUAGCGAGAUAAAAGGUGCCUGUACCGCAAACCGACACAGGUAGGCGAGGAGAGAAUCCUAAGGUGUGCGAGAGAACUCUGGUUAAGGAACUCGGCAAAAUGACCCCGUAACUUCGGGAGAAGGGGUGCUUUCUUAACGGAAAGCCGCAGUGAAUAGGCCCAAGCGACUGUUUAGCAAAAACACAGCUCUCUGCGAAGCCGUAAGGCGAAGUAUAGGGGGUGACACCUGCCCGGUGCUGGAAGGUUAAGGAGAGGGGUUAGCGUAAGCGAAGCUCUGAACUGAAGCCCCAGUAAACGGCGGCCGUAACUAUAACGGUCCUAAGGUAGCGAAAUUCCUUGUCGGGUAAGUUCCGACCCGCACGAAAGGUGUAACGAUUUGGGCACUGUCUCAACCAGAGACUCGGUGAAAUUAUAGUACCUGUGAAGAUGCAGGUUACCCGCGACAGGACGGAAAGACCCCGUGGAGCUUUACUGUAGCCUGAUAUUGAAUUUUGGUACAGUUUGUACAGGAUAGGCGGGAGCCAUUGAAACCGGAGCGCUAGCUUCGGUGGAGGCGCUGGUGGGAUACCGCCCUGACU